AGUGGCGGACGGGUGAGUAACGCGUGAGUAACCUGCCUUUCAGAGGGGAAUAACAUUCUGAAAAGGAUGCUAAUACCGCAUAACAUCGUAGUAUCGCAUGGUACAGCGAUCAAAGGAGCAAUCCGCUGAAAGAUGGACUCGCGUCCGAUUAGCUAGUUGGCGGGAUAAAGGCCCACCAAGGCGACGAUCGGUAGCCGGACUGAGAGGUUGAUCGGCCACAUUGGGACUGAGACACGGCCCAGACUCC
rnacentral:rRNA from 1 species